rnacentral:rRNA from 1 species
UACGGGGGGGGCAAGCGUUGUUCGGAAUUAUUGGGCGUAAAGAGCUCGUAGGCGGUUUGUCGCGUCUGCUGUGAAAACCUAAGGCUCAACCUUGGGCUUGCAGUGGGUACGGGCAGACUAGAGUGCGGUAGGGGUGACUGGAAUUCCUGGUGUAGCGGUGAAAUGCGCAGAUAUCAGGAGGAACACCCAGUGGCGAAGGCGGCUCACUGGCCCGAUACUGACGCUGGAGGCACGA